UGGGAAUAUAGUUUAAUUUCGGUAAAACAUAUGUUUUGCAUACAUAAGAUUAUUGGUUCAAACCCGAUUAUUUCCAA
rnacentral:tRNA from 1 species